UACGGGGGGAGCAAACGUUGUUCGGAAUCACUGGGCGUAAAGGGCGUGUAGGCGGCUGAAUAAGUGGGAUGUUAAAUCCCCCGGCUCAACCGGGGACCUGCAUCUCAUACUGUUCAGCUCGAGCACAUCAGAGGAGAUCGGAAUUCCUGGUGUAGCGGUGAAAUGCGCAGAUAUCAGGAGGAACACCGGUGGCGAAGGCGGAUCUCUGGGCCUUACCUGACGCUCAGGUGCGAAAGCUAGGGAAGCAAACAGG
rnacentral:rRNA from 1 species